UUCAAACCAGCGAUGACACCAGCAUCCUUUGUAGCCUGACG
rnacentral:sRNA from 1 species